AGUGAACGCUGGCGGUAGGCCUAACACAUGCAAGUCGAACGGCAGCACAGUAAGAGCUUGCUCUUACGGGUGGCGAGUGGCGGGCGGGUGAGGAAUACAUCGGAAUCUACUUUUUCGUGGGGGAUAACGUAGGGGAACUUACGCUAAUACCGCAUACGACCUACGGGUGAAAGCAGGGGAUCUUCGGACCUUGCGCGAUUGAAUGAGCCGAUGUCGGAUUAGCUAGUUGGCGGGGUAAAGGCCCACCAAGGCGACGAUCCGUAGCUGGUCUGAGAGGAUGAUCAGCCACACUGGGACUGAGACACGGUCCAGACUCCUACGGGAGGCAGCAGUGGGGAAUAUUGGACAAUGGGCGCAAGCCUGAUCCAGCCAUACCGCGUGGGUGAAGAAGGCCUUCGGGUUGUAAAGCCCUUUUGUUGGGAAAGAAAAGCAGCAGGUUAAUACCCCGCUGUUCUGACGGUACCCAAAGAAUAAGCACCGGCUAACUUCGUG
rnacentral:rRNA from 1 species